UCAGUCCUACGGGGGGCAGCAGUGGGGGAUAUUGCACAAUGGGGGGAACCCUGAUGCAGCGACGCCGCGUGGGUGAAGGAGUGCUUCGGCAUGUAAAGCCCUAUCGGCAGGGAAGAAGCAAGACGGUACCUGACUAAGAAGCCCCGGCUAACUACGUGCCAGCAGCCGCGGUAUUACGUAGGGGGCGAGCGUUUUCCGGAUUUUUUGGGCGUAAAGCGUGCGUAGGCGGCUUGUUAAGUCCAGAAUUAAAGCCCGAGUCUU
rnacentral:rRNA from 1 species